rnacentral:rRNA from 1 species
AGACUUGAACGCUGGCGGAAUGACUUUACACAUGCAAGUCGAACGGUAGAGGGGCAACCCUUGAGAGUGGCGAACGGGUGAGUAAUAUACCGGAACGUGCCCAGUCGUGGGGGAUAACGUAGCGAAAGUUACGCUAAUACCGCAUACGAUCUAAGGAUGAAANCGGGGGGACUCGCAAGAGCCUCGCGCGAUUGGGAGCGGCCGAUAUCAGAUUAGGUAGUUGGUGGGGUAAAGGCUCACCAAGCCAACGAUCUGUAGCUGGUCUGAGAGGACGACCAGCCACACUGGAACUGAGACACGGUCCAGACUCCUACGGGAGGCAGCAGUGGGGAAUUUUGGACAAUGGACGCAAGUCUGAUCCAGCCAUUCCGCGUGCAGGAUGAAGGCCCUCGGGUUGUAAACUGCUUUUGUACGGAACGAAAAGGUUUCUAUUAAUACUAGGAGCUCAUGACGGUACCGUAAGAAUAAGCACCGGCUAACUACGUG